rfam:Xanthomonadaceae bacterium SCN 69-320 ABS97_C0019, whole genome shotgun sequence.
CUUUAUGGCGGCGGUGUGCGGGGAGCCGCAAGGCUCGCCGGUUUCCUUUGGCCGGUACGCCAACCCGUACACCGUCCGCCACCUUU